rnacentral:tRNA from 1 species
GGGGUUGUGGCUCAGUGGUAGAGUACUCGUCUAGCACAUGUGAAGCACUGAGUUUGAUCCUCAGCACCACA